ensembl:lncRNA
AAUUUUGUGUAAUGCUUUAAAUUAAGUUUCUCACAUAUGCAUUUAAUUGAAAUGUAUUGAGAUGGUUAUUUAUGUUAAUAAAAUAAUUAAAAGCAGUUAUUUAAGACUAACUACAAAAUAGCUGUGUAACUACCUAUAUUAAUAAGACAGUUAGUUAAAGGAUAAUGUCUAUUGCUUUAUAGUGUAAUUGCAAUAAACAGCUGCUGAGUUAGAUUAAGAGCCAAAGUGAAACUAAAGUGUUUUAGCAAUCUCAAAAGCUAUUUGUUUGUAAGUAUACUACAAAGCAAUAGAGAUUAUUCCUGUUAUACAACAGCUAUAGCAUAAACAUUAAAAUAUGAUUUUCCUAAGUGCUUUGAUUCCUUUCUCUCAGAUUUUCCACCUACACCACAAGAGAAGGCAAGGCUAGAAUCAGUGGGGAAUGGCUUGUGCAGAGAAGGACAUGUAUGAGAGAGUGUUUAUAGGGUGAUUUACUGUCCUAAUUUAUAGCCAUGCAUUACUAUUGACUUCAAUGAGAUUAUGUGUGGAUGUAAGUCAGGGCAGAAACUGUGUUAACCAGUUGUAUUUUUAGGGUUUCAUCAUUCAAAAAUCUUGUUUGAUUUUUUUUUGGUUAAAAAAAGCUCUUCCUUGGCUCCAGAUCAAACCUACCAGAUUUUAGGCUAAUGGGACUUUUUUGUGGAAGUGGGCAGGGGAAAGUCAAGCUUAUAAUAGAAACUCAUCAGCAGCCUUGUUUAGGAAGUGGCUGCUGCCAUUACAUAAUUAACAGACAAAGAAGAGACACUUUCUGGUUCCUAAGCUAUGGCAUUUUAUGGCUGUGUGUCAUAGCGAAUACACAGAACUCAGACAUUAGGUUGUGGUAAGUAAGCAAAUGACAAUACUGUGUAUUUAUUUGUAUUGCAGUUGUGAUUUACAGACUCCGAGUUGGCACCCAUUGUGCUAGGCACUGUACAUACAUCCAAUGAAAAAGAUGUUCCAUGUGCCAAUGACCAGAAAGACUGAUUCAAAUAUUCUUUUAAAUCUAGGUCUUGGAUCCUGCAAGUCAAUAGAACUAUCAAGUGAGUCUCCUGACUGUACUGCCAUGUUGUUGUGCACUUCAGGUCCUUUACAUCAGAGAAGGCGAUUGAGAGGAUGCCUUUAUUCCUGUGGCUCCAGGCAGGGACGCUGCUCCAUUCCUCUCCAGGACUUCUUUCAGUCAAGCUGGCUUAUAGGCCUGUGUUCCUUUCUACUGAAAUGUGUUGAGGGCUGGAAGUUUCCCUCCCUUUAUCUCCCUUCCUUCUGAUACCAACCUGGAAAUGCUCCACUGGCUACUGCACACUACCUUUAAACAUGGUGGAGUUGAAAUACCCGAGAUGUACUGUUCCAUUCAUAAAUCCCUGUUGUCUCAUAUUAUUAACUGAAAACGCUGGAAGAAUCCAAACUGACUCUAUUGUUAUGGAGUUCUUACACAUAGUCUUACAAAUUCUUAGUGUGUGAGUGCUGUUCAGUCUCUGAAGAAAUGUUGCAUUGCUAUUUUUGUGAUGUAAUUUCUUUAAGGGGAGCUGUUGCAAACAUUAAG